ACGGCGAAACAGGGGUGCUUCGCGCGCAUCGGUACAGGGCGCGGCGAGGCUGAGAGAGACCCUUUGCACCCGAUCCGGGUAAUACCGGCGAGGGAAGUUUCCGGAGAACGCGC
rnacentral:ncRNA from 2 species